rnacentral:rRNA from 1 species
AGUGAACGCUGGCGGUAGGCCUAACACAUGCAAGUCGAACGGCAGCACAGUAAGAGCUUGCUCUUACGGGUGGCGAGUGGCGGACGGGUGAGGAAUACAUCGGAAUCUACUUUUUCGUGGGCGAUAACGUAGGGAAACUUACGCUAAUACCGCAUACGACCUACGGGUGAAAGCAGGGGAUCUUCGGACCUUGCGCGAUUGAAUGAGCCGAUGUCGGAUUAGCUAGUUGGCGGGGUAAAGGCCCACCAAGGCGACGAUCCGUAGCUGGUCUGAGAGGAUGAUCAGCCACACUGUAACUGAGACACGGUCCAGACUCCAACGGGAGGCAGAAGUGAGGAAUAUUGGACAAUGGGCGAAAGCCUGAUCCAGCCAUACCGCGUGGGUGAAGAAGGCCUUCGGGUUGUAAAGCCCUUUUGUUGGGAAAGAAAAGCAGCAGGUUAAUACCCCGCUGUUCUGACGGUACCCAAAGAAUAAGCACCGGCGAACUUCGU